AUUGAACGCUGGCGGCAGGCCUAACACAUGCAAGUCGAGCGGAUGAGUGGAGCUUGCUCCACGAUUCAGCGGCGGACGGGUGAGUAAUGCCUAGGAAUCUGCCUGGUAGUGGGGGACAACGUUUCGAAAGGAACGCUAAUACCGCAUACGUCCUACGGGAGAAAGCAGGGGACCUUUGGGCCUUGCGCUAUCAGAUGAGCCUAGGUCGGAUUAGCUAGUAGGUGAGGUAAUGGCUCACCUAGGCGACGAUCCGUAACUGGUCUGAGAGGAUGAUCAGUCACACUGGAACUGAGACACGGUCCGGACUCCUACGGGAGGCAGCAGUGGGGAAUAUUGGACAAUGGGCGAAAGCCUGAUCCAGCCAUGCCGCGUGUGUGAAGAAGGUCUUCGGAUUGUAAAGCACUUUAAGUUGGGAGGAAGGGCAGUAAGUUAAUACCUUGCUGUUUUGACGUUACCAACAGAAUAAGCACCGGCUAACUUCGUGCCAGCCGCCGCCGUAAGAC
rnacentral:rRNA from 1 species